ACGGAAGGCAGCAGUGAGGAAUAUUGGUCAAUGGGCGGAAGCCUGAACCAGCCAAGUCGCGUGAAGGAAGAAGGUAUUAUGUAUUGUAAACUUCUUUAGCAGCAGAGAAAUAAGGUGGACGUGUCCACUGAUGCUAGUAUGCUGAGAAUAAGCAUCGGCUAACUCCGUGCCAGCAGCCGCGGUAAUACGGAGGAUGCGAGCGUUAUCCGGAUUUAUUGGGUUUAAAGGGUGCGUAGGCGGGCUAUUAAGUCAGCGGUCAAAUCGUGUUGCUCAACAAUACUUAGCCGUUGAAACUGGUGGUCUUGAGUGUAAAUGAGGUAGGCGGAAUGUGACGUGUAGCGGUGAAAUGCUUAGAUAUGUCACAGAACCCCGAUUGCGAAGGCAGCUUACCAAGAUACAACUGACGCUGAGGCACGAAAGCGUGGGUAUCAAACAGGAUUAGAUACCCUGGUA
rnacentral:rRNA from 1 species